rnacentral:tRNA from 1 species
AUUUAUAUAGUAUAAAAAUUAUAUUUGACUUCCAAUCAAAUGAUCUGACUAUUCAGUAUAAAUAAUUCUA